rnacentral:rRNA from 1 species
CAGUAGCCGGUAAUACGGAGGGUGCAAGCGUUAUCCGGAUUUAUUGGGUUUAAAGGGUCCGUAGGCGGAUCUGUAAGUCAGUGGUGAAAUCUCACAGCUUAACUGUGAAACUGCCAUUGAUACUGCAGGUCUUGAGUAAAUUUGAAGUGGCUGGAAUAAGUAGUGUAGCGGUGAAAUGCAUAGAUAUUACUUAGAACACCAAUUGCGAAGGCAGGUCACUAAGAUUUAACUGACGCUGAUGGACGAAAGCGUGGGGAGCGAACAGGAUUAGAUACCCGAGUAGUCCCUGUCUCUUAUACAC